AUAUGGGUCCCAUACGGGUCCCAUUUGGGCCGCCCAACAAAGGACAAAAUCAGCUAUCGGGCGCACAUUUUUUUGAAAAUUCUGUUUUUGAUAUGGCUUUGUUUCAAAUAAUGUAUAUACUAUGAUUAAUAUGAAGUCAUUUUCAAGAGAUAAUUUUAAUUUAAAUAAUCGCGCAGAAAAAUAAAGUAUUUAAAUAAUAUGCGCAUGCGCAGAUGUUAAUUCCGCCUCGCGAAAACAUCCAAAACAAAACACUCAAAACGAAAAUAAAAUAUUCACCACCACCUGGUUUGCCAACAUCGUCUUUACAAGGAAUGUCCAGCAGUGCAUGACAGAGGCCGGUCACUCCCAUUAAGUCCAGCUGAAGAGCCUUCCCAGUUCAUAGGACAAAAUGCAUUUACACAGAUUUUAACGGUGUUGGAAACAAUGAGAGACGAGAACAGGGAAAUGAAGCGGAUGCUGCAUCGGCUCUUGGCUAGGUCAGCUACUGAUGACAAGCCAAUGCAACUGCCAUCAGUCUUCCAAUUAGAACAUUUGAGCAAAUAGAUGAGUUUGAAGAGCAUCUUGGUGAUGAAGCUACGAUCCAUCUUUUCUAGGACUGCUGCAUAGUUCAAGCUUUUUUAUCAAAUAUAUUAAGCAAUGUUGUAAAUGUAAUUGACAGUUCUUUCUCCAUUGAUCCUAAACCAUUCCUUUAAGGAUCAUUUUCUAAGAAAGCAUACAUUCUUUUUUAUCUGGAAAUGAAAUGGUAUAUAUUCCUUUGCAAAAGAAGAAACAGCAUUUCAGUUUUUGAAGGUUUUAAAAGACAUAUAUAUAUAUAUAUAUAUAUAUAUAUAUAUUGUGCAAUUACGAAAAACACUAGAAUGUAUGAAGAUAUCAAAGAUAAUAAUAUGGACUUGUUCUCGAAAUAGGAUUUGCCAUUUAUUUGAGUUUUUGGAUUUUUCUGCAGGGUUUUUAUUAACCAGGUUUUCCGAAGGAAACAACUGGUUAUUAGAUUGGCGAAUGCGGGCGGGCUGGCUGGCUGGCUGGCUGGCGGGCUGGCUGGCUGGCGGGCUGGCGGAACAAGCUUGUCCGGGCCAUAACUAUGUCGUUCAUUGUCAGAUUUUAAAAUCAUUUGGCACAUUUGUUCACCAUCAUUGGACGGUGUGUCGCGCGAAAUAAUUAUGUCGAUAUCUCCAAGGUCAAGGUCACACUUUGAGUUCAAAGGUCAAAAAUGGCCACAAAUGAGCUUGUCCUGGCCAUAACUAUGUCAUUCAUUGUGAGAUUUUAAAAUCAUUUGGCACAUUUGUUCACCAUCAUGGGACGGUGUGUCGCACGAAAGAAUCACGUCAAUAUCUCCAAUGUCAAGGUCGCCACGACUAAAAAUAGAUUUUUUUUAAAAACAAACUUACAAAGGGGGUUAAUUUUCAGAUUUUUUUUUCACAAUGAAAACCUGGUUUUGUGACAAUUUUGUCCCUUGUUAAUUUCUAGUUUAUAAAAUAUUUUGUUUAGUCUUGCAAGUAUGUUUUCUACAAAUGUUCUUUGAGUACAUGGUGUGUUAUUUGUAUUGGUUAAAGAUUUAAUAUGCAUGGGUAUGCUUUUGAGUAAUGUGUAGUACAUCAGGAAAAUACUUGAAGGUAUUCUGUAUAUGUAAUAUAUAUUUUAUAUCAAAAUAAUAGGAGUCCUUAAUUCUAUAGUUGUAUAACUGGUCAACAUAUAUAAUGUUAUAGAAAAACGUCGUAUUGUUUGAAGUUAUGUCUUUAUUGUUCCAUAAAAUAGUUCAACUGUAGGUUUGGGUUUAUAGAUUAUGAGUAACAUUACUCCAUGCGGAUAGAACAUUAGAUAGAAACAUGUUUUCGUUAGCAACUUCAUGUAAAAUAUUUUUGCUGAUGUUACAUUCAAAAAGUUAGGAAUCACCAUAUUAUUUUAGAAUUCUCUGGUAGAAUAGUUAACGUGGGAUCCUCCUGCUAUUUAUGUAUGUAUCCAUGUAUAUGUGUGUAAUACUUUAUGUAAAUAAAAGUUGGGAGUACUUUAAUAAAUUUUUAAGUCUUUUAACAAAAACCUUGUAUUUCUUGCAGGAUAAUGCUAUUUAGCUCUUGAACCCUUUGAUAUCGCUCUGUUCCAGCAAGAAGAAAUAGAUAAAACAUUUAAAAAAUGAAAUUGGAAGUACAUGUACAAGAAUCUUUUGUCUGAUGUUCAAUUUAACACAGUAUUUCAUGUUUGCAGCCUACAUAUUAUUUCUAACAUAACCUGAAUUUCCAUUAAUGCGUUGUCCAAAAUUUUACAGGCUCUGUGUACCCAUAUUGAAUACAAUGCCACCAGUUUGUAGCCCAUAUUAAGUAAAAUGCUGCCUGUAUGUAGCCCAUAUUGAGUAAAAGGGCUACCCGUAUGUAGCCCAUAUUGAGUAAAAGGGCUGCCUGUAUGUAGCCCAUAUUGAGUAAAAGGGAUGCCCAUGUUGGACCUAUAUGGGUCCCAUGUGGGC